UUUUUGACGGAGAGUUUGAUCCUGGCUCAGGACGAACGCUGGCGGCGUGCUUAACACAUGCAAGUCGAACGCUGAAGCU
rnacentral:rRNA from 1 species